GCUGGGUAUGGUGGUGGGCACCUAUAGUCCCAGUUACUCAGGAGGCUGUGGGGUGGGAGGAUUGGUCGAGCCCAGGACUUCUGACCUAUAGUGUUCUAUGCCAAUCAGGUAUCUGUACUAAGUUUAACAUCAGUAUGGUGACCUUAUGAGAGCAGAGUCCACCAAUUUGCCUAAGGAAGGGUGAACCAGCCCAGGUUGGAAACUGAAGGUCAGAACUUGUGUUCUCAUCACUAGCGGGAUCAUGCCUGUGAAUGAAUAGCUGCUGCACUGCAGCUUGGACAACAAAGUGAGACACUUUCUCUU
ensembl:misc_RNA Metazoa_SRP Metazoan signal recognition particle RNA